GCGACCGGGGACGCUCCGGCACGUGACGGCCGCCAGGCUGCAGAGGGGCCAAUCGGCGCGGCGCUGCCACCGAGGGGGCGGGGCGGCGCAGGGGCAGCGGCGCCGGACGACACGCCCACCUGCGUCCUGCGGGGACCACAGGCUCCCGAGCUCUUUCUGACAGCCCUGGUUUAGAGCCUUAGGGCGAGCUGGGCACUGUGCCUUCCCCGUCGCACUAUUAAACGACCAGAGUCCACCCGAUAGCUUAGAAAGCCCAUCACUUUUCACUCCACCCCAUCACAAGGUGUUCCAGAUUUCAGGCUGCACCUGGACCACAGCAUCCAAUAAUGAGUAAAAUAACUCAGCAGCCUGGAGACUUGUCAACUUGGCUUAAUGAUCGCUUUUGAAGUCAACGUGCUACCCAGAAACGUUCUGGGUUUGUGUUAUAGAACUUGGAAGCCACAACCUGUGCUCCAACUGGAUCUCGUGGAAACAAUUCCUCAUCUGAGACUCCUUCCUCUGAAGACUAUGCUCCUGUCAAGUCCACACAGGAAACCGCAUGAUCUUUUCUCGUAGGAGAUGUUUCGGACCACUGGCACCUCUGACAACAGAUUCGUGUUAGGCUCCUCCACAACAGAGCACAGACGUGUCUAAUUUUACUCCAGGAACCGCUCCAGUCUUCCAGUCCCAGAACUGCAAGUUUUUUGUGGUAAAUGGAAGGAAAGCCCCAUCACGUUCUGUGAAGAGGGAGGACCCCCCCCCAUGGCACCAGACUCAGUUCUUAACUGGGGCUGCUUCCUGCAGGAAUUGUUCAGAGCCCCAAAGACUGCAUUGCACAAAGUCUGAAGACACAGAGAAGGACACCCACCCUUGCCGCGUUUCCUUCUGCCCAGAUUGGAAGGAGGAACAAGCAGCACAGGGAAAGCCAUUGUCUGGGGCACCUGGAAGAAUAAGGAGCCUUCCUGUUGCUCACACAUCCAUUGGUGCUAUGUCCUGAUCUCAUUGGCACAAGCACACGCAAUUUCACUGAACUGUGUUCACCUCCUUUUGCGGGAGGUAGAAGGACAAAGGUGACAUCAAAACCAAAGCCACGAGAUACCACACCUGGGCCAGAGUUGGAGGACCGGCAGAAAGCUGUUUGCUAUGUUUCAACAUCGUUCUGCCCUAGAGCUGUUCCAUCUUUCUCAAUAAAAACACUGCCUAAAGCACA